CAGCACAUCUCUGCCGUGUAUAGAAACAUCUCUCGAUGAUAAUUUCUCUAAUACGGUAGGGAUGUGCUGUAGGAUGUUGUGGGAGGCAAUCUUGUAGGGGGCUGAUUUGGUCUCUGCGUAUGCAUGUCGAAAAAAACUCUCAAGGUGGUUUCUGAUUUCUACUUGACCGCCAUGGCAAGGAACUGAAACAAGCAAAGAGAAAUCAAGUUGAUCAGGAGAGGUCGCUGCUUCUCAGAAAUGGCCACGGAGUGCAUCUGCUGCCAAAAAGAUGAUAGUUUUGAUCCCAUAGGGAUCCUCUUAGUGCUCUUUCUUGCUGUCAUGUUCAUGUUUGUCUGUUCUCAGCCAUCGCCGCGAAGGAUUUAUGCUGUUCAUUACCGUUGCUGUUGAUGUUCUCCUGGUUUGCUUAUUACCUGUAAUGUAUUUUUCCAUGUGUUCCACUUGCUCCUUUGUAUGUCAUCCUCCUUUUCAGUUCUCUUGAGGUGUGUGAAGUUGAGCUACAAACAGAUACGAAUGAUCAAAGAAGAUAUUUGAUGUGAAAAUGCAUUCAUCUUAUGGCAUUUGUACUGUAAUAAUGGAGAUUUAGCAACUGUGGUUAAAAUUGUCAAAAUUAUAAUGAUGGUUUAGCAAUUGUUGGUGACUUUCAGUAUUCUUUUU